rnacentral:rRNA from 1 species
CGAAAGCCUGACGGAGCAACGCCGCGUGAGGGAUGAAGGCCUCUGGGCUGUAAACCUCUUUUAUCAAGGAAGAAGAUCUGACGGUACUUGAUGAAUAAGCCACGGCUAAUUCCGUGCCAGCAGCCGCGGUAAUACGGGAGUGGCAAGCGUUAUCCGGAAUUAUUGGGCGUAAAGCGUCCGCAGGCGGCCCCUCAAGUCUGCUGUUAAAAAGUGGAGCUUAACUCCAUCAUGGCAGUGGAAACUGUUGGGCUUGAGUGUGGUAGGGGCAGAGGGAAUUCCCGGUGUAGCGGUGAAAUGCGUAGAUAUCGGGAAGAACACCAGUGGCGAAGGCGCUCUGCUGGGCCAUCACUGACGCUCAUGGACGAAAGCCAGGGGAGCGAAAG